rnacentral:rRNA from 1 species
UACAGAGGGUGCGAGCGUUGUCCGGAAUUAUUGGGCGUAAAGAGCUCGUAGGUGGUUCGGUAAGUCGGAUGUGAAAUCUCCAGGCUCAACCUGGAGGGGUCAUUCGAUACUGCCGUGACUAGAGUUCGGUAGGGGAGUGUGGAAUUCCUGGUGGAGCGGUGAAAUGCGCAGAUAUCAGGAGGAACACCCGUAGCGAAGGCGGCACUCUGGGCCGAUACUGACACUGAGGAGCGAAAGCGUGGGGAGCGAACAGG